CACACCCCUUGAUAACACGUGUGGUCUCUGACCACACUUGAAACGAAGGGGUAGGCGGGGCUACACCACCCGCGGAGAAGAUGGACGGCAGAGAAAGAAAGAAACACAUACAUGAGAAGCUGAGCCAAGUGAAGUCAGCUGCUACAAAAUACAGCAAAGACACAAGGAGAGCGAGGCCAAAACAGGGAGGUUUUUAAACCUUGAAAUGAUGCUUGAUAAAGUGUAUACAUUUGUUGAUAUUGUCAUUUCUAGUUCAUAUGUAUAGUUGCUACAUUUUCAAUUUUUAUAAAUGUUGUUACAGUGCUGGUUAUAAGCUGUUUAUUACAAUUGUUUGUGGUUUUGCAAUAAAUGGCAUAGCCGGUGCAAAUGUGUGCCUUUUAUUUAAAAAAAGGUGUUAUGAGGUAGGCUAUAUAACAUUGAAUCUGCCUAUGUCACAGCCAGCAAGCGGUGAAGGGUGAUGAUGUAAUAAGAAUCAAGUGGUGUCCAAUUUCUGAGUGGCUUCUUCCCCUUGGCCCUAUGUUUUAAGGGGUAAGACGAAGGGGAAGGGCUAAGGGUAGAAUUGCGAUUCAGCCUGAGAGUCCAUCGCUGAUGACAUCAUAUACGUGCGACAGAGCUGACUUCUGGUUCCUGUUCCUACAUAUUAGCAAGCUAAUAGACUGCCAAUAAGGAUGUUUUGUGCUAAAAAGAAGACAUUUGGCAUCACACAGUGUCUUAAUAACAUGACAAGACGUGUGCCAUAUUGUAAGCUAACUGGAAAAUGUACACAAAUCAAGGCAAAAUUUUGCCAAAAACAAAAAACAUGCUAACCACGGCGUACGCUAACCAAGGUUGCACUGUAUUUCUUUAAUAGUUUUGUAUGUAUAAUUUUAUUUCCUGAAGUUUCAAAUAAGACCACUACAAAUCACCACUGUUGUGGACAAUAAUAAUUCAGGUAUUGAUGCAGCAACGCUGUGUUUAACUGCUUUUUUUUUCAACGUAAAAUCCUUUUCUCUGGUUUAGAGGUGCUUGGCUGAAAGAAAUAUUCCACUGGGGGGUACUUCACUAAAAAAGAUUGAAAACCACAGGUCUGAAGAGCAUGACGCCAUCUUCUUGACAUUUUUACGUUAUUUUAUCCAAAAACUAAUGUGAAAAAUAAUAAAGUACUUUCAUAUAUUUUUAAAAUUAAUUUAUAGACACUAGUGGUGAAUUUAAGUCAAUUUUAAUUUGCAGUUGGGACAUAAUUUUAGUAAAAGUUAGUUUUUCUCUAAAAAAAAAAAAGAAGACAAAAAUAAAGAUAAAAAACAGUCCAAUCACUUACAAUGUUGAAUCUCCAAUGUACCUAACAUGCAUGUUUUGUUGCUGUGGGAGCACCUGGAGAAAACCCACGUAAACACGGAGAGAACAUGCACGGGCUGAGAUUCAAACCCAGAAUCUUCUAGCUGUGAGGCAGAUGUGCUAACCAUAGUCCACCAUGCAGCAGUUAUUAUUCCAAAUCAAAGCAUGACGUCUAAGUCGUUUUCAGCUGAAAAAAAAAGAAAAGAAACAAUGCUGUGUAAAAUCCAGAGCAUUGCUGAGUUUAAAAGCUUCCAGACAAAAAAUGUCUGCUCUGAGGUCAAAUGUCAGAUUGUACACGCAUGGUUCAUGUCAAUACAAUUCACACCUGAUCUUUUUCUUCUUUUUAUUCCACAGCAAACCAAAAAUACUUUUGGCACUCACUGGCCACAAGAUGAAGUACAACUAAAUACCUCAUCGCCCUGCGAUUGGCAGUCCAGGGUGUACCCCGCCUCUCACGCGAAAUCAGCUGGGAUAGGCCCCGCAACCCUCGUGAGGACAAGCGGCAUAGAAAAUGGAUGGAUGGACAAAUACCUUAUCAAAAAUCUGCCUAGUCUGCUAUAUAAGCUGCAAUGAACCUCCUGGUCAAGUCGGUGGAGCAGCCAAGACGGGGAGCUGUACUCUCAAGUGGCAUCCGACAGGUCCCAGUUAGGGCAUUUAUGGAUGACUUAACUUCUGCCAAGUGUGGUGGCUGCGAUAUCCAUCGCUUUAAAGACAUUUUAAUGACAGUUGCAGCCGGAAUGCUGUUAUACACUCAACAAAAAUCUAAACGCAACACAUUCGUUUUUGCUCCCAUUUUUCAUGAGCUGAACUCAAAGAUCUAAAACUUUUUCCAUGCACACAAAAAGCCAUCAUUUGCCUCAAAUACCUUAUACGCCCAAUACAGUUAAAAGAAAUGUCCACAGAGACUACGGUUUUGGUACCAAAGCAUGGAACCUAGUAGUACCAUGCCUACAUGACAACUGAAUUUGGUGUCCAUCCCUAAUGAUGAAUGCUCACUAACCUAUGCCAGAAAGGUUUGUGAACUGUAUUUAAGAGAAAUAGGCUGUUUUUGUACUUACAACAAGUUUUAGGUGUUUGAGUUCAGCUCAUGAAAAAUGUCAGCAAAAAGCGUUCUUUAUCAUUUGUUGAGUAUAGAUUUGCCUCAAAAUUGUAUAUUGAUAAUUUGACUCACAAGGGUUUGCACAAUGGCGUGGUUUGUGGCAUUCAUGUAGGAGUUGAGCGGGAAGGCGCACUCGCCCUCGCAGUAGUAUGCUGCGUAUCCUUCAGGGGCGAUGAUCCAGUCCUGGACACAGAGCAAGACUUUCAAUUAGAAAGCAAAAACAGAAGGAUUUGAGUUGCUUCCUGGGUAUGGAGGUGGCCGGGGCUUUGAUUGAGGGUCUCGUACCUGCCACCCGAGGUCUCGGAAGCUGACGUAGAGCUCGUGCUUCUUGCAUGCCUGCUUUUGAUCAGUGCUGCUGUUCUCUGUGCAAGACGAAGGAGAGACAUUUGUCAUCCUCCAACAACAAUUAGGCCCAUUUGACAAAGUGCAGAUCCAAACACAGACAUUUCAACAGUCACUGUCGGAAAUCACCUCCAGAUCCAGCAGCGCUUUGCUAACGGGCCACCCAACUCAGAUGUCACACUGCGGCAGCUUUGAAUUUCAUCUGGCCCAAACAUAUGUGCACACUGUUUGUGUUUACCGCACUCAUGUUGGAGAAUAAUAGUUUACUUUCUAAUCUUCCCUCGUUCUGGUGACCUCCGCAGCCCCGCUGCGCAUAUCUGCCCAAGAGGGGUCCACAUUGUCAGUGAUCACGAGCGACUGGUUCUCAUCAUCCACUUAAGAUGCCGCUGGUCUAAAAAGUUCCACACAGGCCCAUGUGUUUGUGGCCCCGGUUGCCCCGCAGCACACCGCAGAUGUGCUCCGCCAUAAAACCCUUUUACCUCCUCACAGGGAACAUGGGCCCAACUGCUCUUGUAAUGCUUGUGUAAAUAAACAAAGGCGGCCGAGGGAUACUCAAAGCUCUGGCAUUACGCUCUAAUGUUUCAACAGUUCGUAUAAACACGGACUGCUCUCACCUCCAAUGAAAGGUCAUGUAAUAUGGCCUGCAUGUUCUGUUGGGCUGCGAUCGUACAAUUAUUUGUUAUGCGUAACAUGGCUGUUAUGAUGUCAUUUUCUUAAAAUGUGGGGAAUAACAAUCCAAGUUUAGAUUCAUACACAGACAAACAGGCAGGUUCCUGGGAGGCUGCCUGGCAGCUGUACUGGUGAGAAUGCACCUUGCCAAGCUUUAGUGGUGGCAAGUCAAACAAUGGAGUGAACCAAUCAGCUUCCUUUUUCAUGGGUGUGGUUUGGGAUUCCAAGAGAUUUUAAGUAAUUAUACCACGCUCUCCGAACCUGUUGGCUAAAAACCUGAGAAGGGAGUCAAAUUUGGAUGUGAUGUGCACGACGCAGAGGAUGAUGGUGUGAGAAAACAGGGACUCCGAGGAUUUUGAAGCAAAG